ACCAUUAUGAUGUUCAAAUCAAACUGAGUGCCUUUAUCGAUCUAUUUUUGAUUGAUUUUGGCGUAUUUAAAGGGAUGUUCGCAGUAGCGAGGCAUUUGUCUGAAUGAAAC